rnacentral:rRNA from 1 species
AUUGAACGCUGGCGGCAGGCCUAACACAUGCAAGUCGAGCGGAGCGGCGGACGGGUGAGUAAUGCCUAGGAAUCUGCCUGGUAGUGGGGGAUAACGUCCGGAAACGGGCGCUAAUACCGCAUACGAUCAGCUGAGCCUAGGUCGGAUUAGCUAGUUGGUGGGGUAAAGGCCUACCAAGGCGACGAUCCGGAACUGGUCUGAGAGGAGGAUCAGUAACAUGGGAACUGAGACCAGGUCAAGACUCCUACGGGAGGCAGCAGGGGGGAAUUUUGGACAAUGGGGGAAACCCUGAUCCAGCCAUCCCGCGUGUGCGAUGAAGGCCUUCGGGUUGUAAAGCACUUUUGGCAGGAAAGCGGUACCUGCAGAAUAAGCACCGGCUAACUACGUGCCAGCAGCCGCGGUAAUUC